rnacentral:rRNA from 1 species
AUUAAGCCAUGCAUGUGUCAGUACAAGCCGUCUUUACGGUGAAACCGCGAAAGGCUCAUUAAAUCAGUUAUGGUUCCUUAGAUCGUACCCACGUUACAUGGAUAACUGUGGUAAUUCUAGAGCUAAUACAUGCCAAUAGAGCUCCGACCAGCGCGUCGUAUUUCGGCGGUUCGCCGUCGGGGUCGGCCGUUCGGAAGGAGCGCUUUUAUUAGAUCAAAACUGGCCAAGCGUUUUUCUCGUAUUCGUACGAGAGGACGUCAGUGGCCCGCGCAAAGACUUGACGACUCUGAAUAACUUCGAGCUGAUCGCACGGCCCUAGUGCCGGCGACGUAUCUUUCAAAUGUCUGCCUUAUCAACUGUCGACGGUAGAUUCUACGCCUACCGUGGUGGUAACGGGUAACGGGGAAUCAGGGUUCGAUUCCGGAGAGGGAGCCUGAGAAACGGCUACCACAUCCAAGGAAGGCAGCAGGCGUGCAAAUUAUCCAUUCCGAGUUCCGGGAGAUAGUGACGAAAAAUAACGAUACGGGACUCAUCCGAGGCCUCGUAAUCGGAAUGAGUACACUUUAAAACCUUGGUCACACGAGGAUCAAUUGGAGGGCAAGUCUGGUGCCAGC